UAUAAAUCCAACGUAGAACUUAUUUUUAUAAAUAUACGCAUAAUUUCGCAGUCUUCAUUCAUCAAUCCAAUCUCCCUUUUCUUUCACAAAACCAUGGCUUUUGCACUUCGCUCCUCAAUUUCGUUUAUCAAUAUAAAAGAUAAUCGAGGUUUAAAAACUCGUGACGAGUUUUCAACUAUAUUAAGUUUUUCUCAAACUAAGCCGUUGUUGUGCAAGCUCCAUGCAAAGAGUGCAAUGCCAUUUUUUUCACUUAAAUUACGCAUAAUCCCCUCUUCUACUUGUAUAUGUAUAUGUAUAUGUAUAUAUAGUCCUCGUCUGGUUCAGAUAAAAUUCAGAUUUUUAGUAGAUUUUGCAUCCCUCUACCUCCAUGGGUGCUUGAAGAAAUGAACUGUGAGAAAUGGAGUAGCAGGGAGGCGCCUAGGUCGGCGCGGCGCCUAGUUUCUGGACUGGGCAGAAACUUGGCGCCUAGGCCCCCGAUUCAGCUAUAUAUAUAGCUGAGUUUUCCUUUCAUUAUGACAUCCGAUUUUUAGAGAGAAAGCUUGGUAGAGAAUAUAACAAGAAAGAGGUUGUUCUUCUUGAGUAUAAAUUCAAAGCUAUUUUUUCUUUCUUGGGGAUUAACUUGAGACUUGUUCAAGUAAUCUAAUCCAUUGUUCCUCAUAUAUAUUGAAAAUCAUUUCUUC